AACGAACGCUGGCGGCAGGCUUAACACAUGCAAGUCGAACGCCCCGCAUGGGGAGCGGCAGACGGGUGAGUAACGCGUGGGAACAUACCCUUUUCUGCGGAAUAGCUCUGGGAAACUGGAAUUAAUACCGCAUACGCCCUACGGGGGAAAGAUUAUCGGGGAAGGAUUGGCCCGCGUUGGAUUAGCUAGUUGGUGGGUAAAGGCCUACCAAGGCGACGAUCCAUAGCUGGUCUGAGAGGAUGAUCAGCCACAUUGGGACUGAGACACGGCCCAAACUCCUACGGGAGGCAGCAGUGGGGAAAAUUGGACAAUGGGCGCAAGUCUGAUCAGCCAUGCCGCGUGAGUGAUGAAGGCCUUAGGGUUGUAAAGCUCUUUCACCGAUGAAGAUAAUGACGGUAGUCGGAGAAGAAGCCCCGGCUAACUUCGUGCCAGCCGCCGCAGUAAGAC
rnacentral:rRNA from 1 species